ensembl:lncRNA
GCAACCUGGGAGCUCCGAGGACGGCUUUUUCCCGCUUGCCCUUGCGGGGGCGGUGCGGCCUACUUGCUGUGGUCCGGGCUGGGUCCUGGUUCCCCCGGGGCCCCUGGGGUUGCCUAUUGGUGGUUGCUCAGCAGGCCGUGGGUUUGAGAAACGACCCGGGCGUGAGUGAUUUAACCACUCGGUUCCAAAAUUAGUCAGCCGUGCCCGCAGGUCGACGCAGAGCCCGGGCGCAUUGCCCGGGCUCCAUCCCCUGGACUUUCCCUUCUGGGCCUGGCGCGGCGGCGGCGGCCUCACGUGCUGCACUCUCGAGCCUGGGGCCGAGGCCGCCUCGGCCCACGCUCUCUGCACAGCCGUCCUCGGCCCGGGGCCUACGGUGGGCCCCGCAGCCCGCGGGAGAUAAGGGGCCAGAGCUCCGACCCCAGGACUCUGGCCCCCUGGUGCACCUGCACAGCCCUUCGGACGCCGCGUGGGCAGGUCUUCCCAUAAACAUCUGGUGAUCCCUGGCUGCCUUAAGAUUUCUUCCAAGAUUCCCCAAGAGCUGGUGGGCAGACUCUAUGUGCACACAUGCGGCUGCUCCCCCAGGGUUCUCAAAGGAACCAGCGUGAGCCAGCAUGUAACAAGUCAGAGGAUCCUGUUGCAGAAGACGGGUGCAGAGGGACAUCUUGAGACUCGUGAAGGAGCACCAAGGACCUGAGCCAGACAGGCUGCUGUUCCAGAUGAGUCAGCCGCCCCCAGAAUCCUCAGGCAAACCAAUUUACUGAGAUAUAAUUCACAUACAAUAAAAUUCAUCCAUUCAAACCCACGCAACUACAGUCAUCUGAUUCUGGACAAAGGAGCCAAAAAUAUAUGUUGAAGAAAAGUCAGCGUCUUUAACAAACGAUGGUGGGAAAACUGGAUACCUACUUGUAGAGACUGAAACUGGAUUGCUAGCUCUCACCCUGUACAAAAUUCAAUUCAAAAUGGAUCAAAG